CAUAUUACCUGUUAACCUGUAAGCUAUUAUUUAAGUAACUUUUUCUAAACAUGUAAAUCUAAAUAUUUAAAUAAUUAUAAACUUAGAAAUGUCAACAUCAAGUCAUCCAACCAAUGAAGUGAAUGUUUGUAUAGCCUGAACUAAUGAACUCUGGCUAGCCAAAAACAGUUGUUUUAAUUAGUCAAGUUUUCCCAGUGAAUAAUCAUAGGUUUAACGUGCUGCUAUUUUAAUUAAUUUUCUGUGCGAUACUAAGUGUACGAAAAGAAAUAGUCUCAGGCAAUUUAUUUACCUUAUUUCAUAUAUUUAAUGGUAUAUAUAUAUAUAUAUAUAUGUUUAGUACUGCACACAAUAUUUUAAUGCCAGAUAAAAUGUAAAUGUAAUUCACAAUUCUAUUCAUAACUAUAAAGUAAUAAGUUUUAAUUGUUCUACAGGAUGGGAAGAUUAUCCUGAUAGGUCAUAUGGUUUGAUAUCGACAGAUUUGUUUCUUUAAGACUUAGUAAUCUAUAUAUAUAAGGGAUGAUGUAUUGCUCAUCUGUUUCUACAACCAACAAGUGUGUCAUGUAGCCAGCACAGCAUCUAAGGCUUGUACUUUCCCCAACUAAUAACAAAUACUCACUAAAGUUGGGGAGCCUCACUUACCUGCUGAGAGGUCAUGUAACACACAUAGUUAUGAACUGAACAAAGAAUAUAGAGUCUUCACUUUUGGUAGAGAGACUUUGUUCAAUUAAAAAAAUAGAACAUCAGUGUGGUGAAAUAUGUGCAUUAUGCAUUUUUUUGUGUGCAGGGCUUUUGCAAGAGAGAAUUCGAGCACCUCAGGUCCUCUUUCCAAAUGAGUUUGAUGAUGAUGAUGACCUCCACAAAGCAGGAAAUACUAGCAGAUGCUGAGUUCAUCUCAUAAAAAAACAUAAAAAUAUUUGAUGAUUUAAUAAUACAACUCCUGAAGGAAGUUGAUGUUUUCCAUGAUGUGAUCAAAUUUAAUGAUUGUGGAUCAAAGUGAUUCAUGGUGUAUAGUAAAGGGUAUGAUAAUAUUUGGCCUUGGUUCAUAUUCAAGGAAUCACAAUCUGUAUGGAGAAAAAUAUGCAUAUAUUCCUACUAGUCAUUAGUCUUGUCUCAGAUUUUUUGUUCAAUUGCCUUCUAUAGAUUUAAAAAUAGAUUUUAAAAAAUACUUAACUGUUUAACCUGCAGAUUAUAACACCUCAGUACUACCAGUUACCAACAAGAGAGCUAGAGUGGAAUCGUAAAGGGAGUGAGACCAAAAAGAAUGUGGUGACACAGUGUACUAGAUGAAGCCAAGAGGACAGGAAAGAGCUGGGAAGCCAUUUAAAAAAAAACUAGCAAGAGACCAUGAAGAGUGGCAUGUCUACAACAUUUAUUUCAUUUUAUCAUAAAUUGAUUUAGUCUAUAUUAUAAUAAGAGUUAUAUAUUUAGUAUUGUUCACUAAAAAGUUACUCAAAUCAUUUAAAGUUUUAUUAGUUAGGAUAUAAUACACCUACAGCAGUUUGGUGCUACAGGUCAAUGACCGUCAAUAACACUAUUUAAAAAAAGUAGAUAUUGUAACUUUUGAUCUAGACUUUCUAUUAGUUUCGGAAAAAAAAAAUGUGUAUAAUUACACGUUUGUCAUCUCUUACCGUAUCUUAUUACAGACAGACGUUAAUUACGCCCUAUGCAUUUCAUGUGUCAUUCUAGUCAUGCAUGUUAACCAAUAACUGCUAUGUCGUAGGUUUACCUGGCUGAUUAUUAUUGUACCCUAUAUACUAAGAUGACUAAGAUCUAUAGAUCAGUCAUCAUCAGAAACUUGAUUCCAGGUAGAUUCAGAUCCAUUUAUAAUUAUAAUCUAGAUUUUCUUGUCUCCUAAAUCCUAAGGCUUUACUAAACAGCCUAAUUAAAGUAAUUAGGACUAGGUCCUAGGCCUAUACUUUUACUACCAUAUUGGUAUCAUACAUAGUAGGGCCUAUAUAAAAUAUUAAUUACUAGAUCUACUUAUUCUACUAUUCAUUUAAUAUAGACUCUAGAUCUAGAUUUUAGUUUUUUUUCUUUAUACGUUAUAUACUUAUAUAGAUCUAGAUUCAGUAAUUCUGCAGGAGUUCAAGGGGCAGCCAUCUUUGUUAUUGUUUAGACUGUAAUCUUGGGUUUUCUCUCAGAUUUGUUUUUUUUUUUUUUUUUUUUUUGAAGCUAAAUAAUAUUCUAGAUCUAGCUAUACUGGUAUCAUCUAGUCCUAAUAAGUCUAUUAAUUAGACUCAUAAUCUAACUCUUAGAACUAGACUAAUUAUUAUAUUAAUAUGACAAGGUUCUUAAUGGGUGGCUGCGUGGUCGUGCGGUUUGCGCGUUGGAUUGUCGUUCGGAUUUAUCGACGGUCGAGGGUUCAAACCCUGCCCGCUCCCAUCCCCCGUCGUCCUGCGGGAGGUUUGGACUAGGAAGUAAACUAUCUUCAACUCUGAAGGAACAUCCGAAACAUGUAAAACAUUUUACAAACAAAGACAAUAAAGGUCUAUUAAACUGUGCUGAUAUUUAUUGUAGGCCUAGUUAAAUUUAGAUUCUCUAUAUCAGAAUAAUUCAAAAUAGAUAUAGAUUCUAGACAAUAUUUAACAAUUAAAAAGAAGACAGAACAAUAAGAAAUGUAUUGUAUUGACACCAAGUCAAAAUUAAAAGGAAUAAUAGACCUAGCAUUGCUUUGAAAACACAGAAGUAAUGUUAAUUCUUGGUAUUUUUUAAGACACUAUCUUGGGAUUUCUUUGGAACAUAAACAAUAACAAAAUAGUACAAAGAUGGCUGCCCCUUGAACUCCUGCAGAAUUACCCUAGAUUCUAUCUAUUAGUAAUUAAUGAUUAAUCUAUUCAUUAAAAUUAAAAUGAUUCAAUAGUCAAUAUUAACAAAAUAAAACGUUAACAUUAAAAUUAAGUUUAACAGGUUACAUUAAUCAUUACAUGAUCAUCAUAAUGAUUAAUGAUCAUAUCGUCAUAUUCAUUGGAAUUUCAAUAGCCUCUCAUGUCAAUAGUGAUAAUACUAGAUCUAAUAAUAGCAAAAGAAAAAAAGAAAAUAAAUAAUUAAAAUCAAGAUGAAGAAUUGGUUAUGAUUAUGAAGAAUGAGUGCAAACACUUUACCUUUAUUAAGCUGCUAAGCCUUAUGCAACAAUUACUGUAGUUUAAACGUUAUCUUCUUGGUCUUGAAUGUGCUACAAUGUAUGAAACUUCAUUAUAUAUCCAGUGCUUUUCAAAUAGAAUGUUACUGUUAGUGUAGGUUCUAGUCUACAGCUAGAUUUAGAUCUAUUCUAUUGUUUUCUUUCCGGUUACAUCCAAGAUGGCGAGACUUUGUCAACACACACACAUGACGUCAUGGGUAGGGGUCAUGGGAGGUCAAGGUCUUUUUGGUUCCUAUUUUGAUUGUUUAAAUUAUUAUUUAUUAUACUUGUACAAUAUUCCUCUUUUACGAGAUUUUUCUAAUCAUUUAAAUAUAGAUUUAUAGUUUUAUAUAAGAGAAUGGUUAAUACAAUAGUUCAAAAUAGUUGUAGAUCUCAAUCUAUCUUUCGAUUAAAAGUAAAGUGACUAGUCUUAAUUUCCUUACCAUAUGUGUCUUCUAAAAUAGUUCUACUAAUUUUAUCUGUUACUUCCCUUCACUAGUAAUGAGAGGCAAUCAUUCACAGAUUUAAUUGAUCACUUUUUCAUUUUUUAUUAAUAAAAAUCAAUUUUUUUUUUAAAUCGCAAUAAAAUUUUAAUGUUUACUAUAAAGAACCAAUUUGUUAUAGUACCAGUUUUAUUUAGUUAAAAUGAUAAAUUAGUCACAUUUAAAGAUUUAAUUUAACAUUAUGUAAUAAAGCAAACGCUUUAAUGCAGACGACUCAUUGAUAACACCUUUAUAAAGGACAGAGCCAUAUUGUUUUCUUGGAGCGUGUGUCAGGAGACACGUCUGACAUUGAUCGCUAUGAUCUUUACGGCUUGAUCUGUCUAGAUUGGUUGUUUCCACUACACUAAAUUUAUAGAAGGAGCUCCCGCUGCACUCCGGGUCGCACGGUCGAGCUCUAGUCAAAAUUUCGGUCGUAGUGUUUUCAAGGCACGGCGGCCAUGGGGUUCUUUCUGUUAGGGCUUCUCUCUUAUUUCGCGUAACGGGAAGUUCGUACUCAGAAACCACAAUCAUUUAUGUCGCUCCGUUUAAGGCACUACACGUGGUAGAUUGCCAUUCUUU